GACGAACGCUGGCGGCGUGCUUAACACAUGCAAGUCGAACGCUGAAGCUCAGCUUUUGUUGGGUGGAUGAGUGGCGAACGGGUGAGUAACACGUGAGUAACCUGCCUCCUUCUUUGGGAUAACGCCCGGAAACGGGUGCUAAUACUGGAUAUUCACUGGUCUUCGCAUGGGGGUUGGUGGAAAGGGUUUUUCUGGUGGGGGAUGGGCUCGCGGCCUAUCAGCUUGUUGGUGGGGUGAUGGCCUACCAAGGCUUUGACGGGUAGCCGGCCUGAGAGGGUGACCGGUCACAUUGGGACUGAGAUCCGGCCCAGACUCCUACGGGAGGAAGCAGUGGGGAAUAUUGCACAAUGGGCGCAAGCCUGAUGCAGCGACGCCGCGUGAGGGAUGGAGGCCUUCGGGUUGUGAACCUCUUUCGCUCAUGGUCAAGCCGCAACAAUGGUUGUGGUGAGGGUAGUGGGUAAAGAAGCGCCGGCUAACUACGUG
rnacentral:rRNA from 1 species